AUUGAAUGUGGAGCAUAAAAUAAAGUUGUUGAUUAAUGUGAACCAAAACACAUUCUCUUUAAUUGUGAAAGAAGAUGGCUGGCUUCAUUUAUUUAACUACACCCAUUGUGUUUCAUAUGUAACGUUCUUGGAGGCUUUGCUGCUGUUCUACUUCGAUUUCACAGCAAGUAGGGUACCGAAACCCUGUUUUAUCACUGUUUAAUCAUCGAAAAAUCAAUUUCUCAAUGGCACAUGGACUGCCACACGGCCGGGGAAGGUUGUGUGGUGACAGUGUAACUCAUUGUUUUUUUGACUUGAGACACAUGGACGUGUGCUAGACUGUAUGUAAAAAAAAUAAGGUGCAGUGGUCACACAAGUGAACAUACGUGCAUGUGUCCAAGGCGUGUAACUCACUGUUUUGAUUAUAUGGACACACGGGCACUCAUACAGCAGUGUGCCAGACCGUGUGGAGCCACACGGGCGUGUGAGCAUGGAAACUGGAAUUUCUGUCUAAGCUGUAGUUGCUGUACAAAGUGAAUUGAGACUGUAAAUAUUGCAACGUGUCAUACUGAAACUAUGAGGUGUGUAGGGCUGAACGGGUAUUAUAUACCUACUACUGUGAUGGACUAGUCGAAGAUGGAACCUCCCAGAACUAAGUUUCCGGUAGACGCGAGACUCGGUCAUCUAAUGGUCCUAUUUUAAAUAUAUGUGUGUGUUUAAGCUUGUUAUUUGUUUUCCGACUUUAAAUUUUAAGAUUGAAUUAUGUUGAAUGGUUCAUGGUUUUAAGAUUUAAUUAUUUAUUGAUAAAA